rnacentral:rRNA from 1 species
AUUGAACGCUGGCGGCAGGCCUAACACAUGCAAGUCGAGCGGAGCGGGGGACGGGUGAGUAAUGCUUAGGAAUCUGCCUCGUCGUGGGGGAUAACGUCCGGAAACGGGCGCUAAUACCGCAUCCUAUCGCAUGCGCCUCGGUCGGAUUAGCUAGUUGGUGGGGUAAAGGCCUACCAAGGCGACGAUCCGUAACUGGUCUGAGAGGAUGAUCAGUCACACUGGAACUGAGACACGGUCCAGACUCCUACGGGAGGCAGCAGUGGGGAAUAUUGGACAAUGGGCGAAAGCCUGAUCCAGCCAUGCCGCGUGUGUGAAGAAGGUCUUCGGGUUGUAAAGCACUUUAAGUUGGGAGGCGUUACCAGCAGAAUAAGCACCGGCUAACUUCGUGCCAGCAGCCGCGGUAAUAC